AUUUACUUCACUUACUCACCAGAGGCAAACAAUACACACUGAAGGACGUAGUUGUGAUGUGAACGUGCCAGAUGCAAACAAAUGGGUGAUUUCCUCUUCACAGGCCCAAGGAUCAGUAACCAGCGGUGAUGAGCAGAGAGAUCUCACCUUCCCAUCCUCGGAGCAGAUGCCCACAUGCUCUCCACUUUCAUCCAGACUGAUCUGGUUGAUCUUCACUGAACUCUGCAGAGACACAAUUAUCAAGGCAUCUUUUUUAGAGGCGGGCUAAUAUCAAAUGCUGCUGGCUGACAUUUUACCCCACUAAGUGAAACGCCAGAAAAAGCGAAAGGCAAAAGAUUUGAGUAUAUGAUGGAUGCAUAGACCCAUAUGUGUCAAUGCACAGAGCAUGGCAUUAACUCUGUGGAGGUUAGAGGAUCCCAAUUCACUGCUGGUGCUUUUAAAUUUUAGACAUUCAUGACACUUUAGAUAAAAGGAUCGACCAAAUGGCAUAAAUUACAGCAAAUGUUACUUAAAAGCUAUCCCUAAAGGGUUGACUGUGCCUCUGCGUAGACUCCAGGAGAAAAAGUUCUUAGCUUAUUUACAAUUUCUCCAGUGCAUUAGGUUCACCUGGGUAUUUGGUACACAUAUUAAAUUUGCUUUUCACUGAAUUCUGACUUGUUCAUUUUGAAACUACAUCACAAAUACAUCUAGGCAGAACUCA